rnacentral:rRNA from 1 species
GUAGGUGGCAAGCGUUGUCCGGAAUUAUUGGGCGUAAAGCGCGCGCAGGCGGUCCUUUAAGUCUGAUGUGAAAGCCCACGGCUCAACCGUGGAGGGUCAUUGGAAACUGGGGGACUUGAGUACAGAAGAGGAAAGCGGAAUUCCAAGUGUAGCGGUGAAAUGCGUAGAGAUUUGGAGGAACACCAGUGGCGAAGGCGGCUUUCUGGUCUGUAACCGACGCUGAGGCGCGAAAGCGUGGGGAGCAAACAGGAUUAGAUACCCUGGUAGUCCACGCCGUAAACGAUGAGUGCUAAGUGUUAGGGGGUUUCCGCCCCUUAGUGCUGCAGCUAACGCAUUAAGCACUCCGCCUGGGGAGUACGGCCGCAAAGGCUG